rnacentral:misc_RNA from 1 species
UUUUUGUAAUAAUAAACUUUAUGAUUACUUCAUGUUAUUUCAUUAUGUAUUCCUAAUUUUCCGUUACGGCAAAAACAAACUUAAACUGCGAUAAUAUCCAUCGAGACAACGAUCUACAGUGAGAUCCGUUAUAACGAGACGUGAUAAAAUUCAAAGUCGAUUUUCUCGAAAACAAAGCCUCGAACGAAAAAUUUUUAUUCUAUAUUUUCGACUUCUUUUUUCGCGUGGAAUCACCCCCUUUCCGCUUGUACCACCAGUUACCAACCACCCCGUAUAUUUUCG